rnacentral:rRNA from 1 species
AUGGGGACGCGUUCGGAGGAGCUCGCUGCCAGGUUGGCGGCCGGGGGCCCCGGCGGCGUCGGCGGACCAGCAGGAGGAGGAUGCGGGGAGGGGCAGCACGAGCGGGUGGUCGCGCUCCGCGAGAUCAAGAACCAGACCUUCGGGAACCAGACCAAGAAGCUCCUCUACCUCUGCCUGGGUGCCGUGUUAGCGGUCGUCACGGCGCGUCACCAGCCAUGCUCGUCCAUGAGCGGCCGCGGCGGAGUACUUUGCUUGCGGCGUAGACGAUGGCGCGCAUGCCGUGCUUGCUGCUGGAGCCGUGGGGCACCUCCUCGCCCACCCCGACAACAAGUACCAUCCUUCUUCCGCGAUGCUGCUGCAUGCCAGGAUUCGCAGUGGCACCACCGCAGCCAGCAAGGACACAAGCUCACGAGGAUUGUUGCCGCUUCGGAGGACAUGGGAGCUGCCAUAGCCAGCGAGUACGUGAGCGCACGUAGGCACCAUCGCUUUCGAGGAUGCGAGAGCCAUCUCAGCUUGAGAGAAUGCGCAUACCAUCUCCAGUGUGUGCAACAAGUGUUCCUCUAA